UAGGGAAUCUUCCACAAUGGACGCAAGUCUGAUGGAGCAACGCCGCGUGAGUGAAGAAGAUCUUCGGAUCGUAAAACUCUGUUGUUAGAGAAGAACACGAGUGAGAGUAACUGUUCAUUCGAUGACGGUAUCUAGCCAGCAAGUCACGGCUAACUACGUGCCAU
rnacentral:rRNA from 1 species